GGGGAUGUGGCUCAAGCAGUAGAGCGCUCGCCUGGCAUGCGCGGGGCGCUGGGUUCAAUCCUCAGCACCACG
rnacentral:tRNA from 1 species